rnacentral:rRNA from 1 species
ACGGAAGGCAGCAGUGGGGAAUAUUGCACAAUGGGGGAAACCCUGAUGCAGCAACGCCGCGUGAGUGAUGACGGUCUUCGGAUUGUAAAGCUCUGUCUUUAGGGACGAUAAUGACGGUACCUAAGGAGGAAGCCACGGCUAACUACGUGCCAGCAGCCGCGGUAAUACGUAGGUGGCAAGCGUUGUCCGGAUUUACUGGGCGUAAAGGGAGCGUAGGUGGAUAUUUAAGUGGGAUGUGAAAUAUCCGGGCUCAACCUGGGUGCUGCAUUCCAAACUGGAUAUCUAGAGUGCAGGAGAGGAAAGGAGAAUUCCUAGUGUAGCGGUGAAAUGCGUAGAGAUUAGGAAGAAUACCAGUGGCGAAGGCGCCUUUCUGGACUGUAACUGACACUGAGGCUCGAAAGCGUGGGGAGCAAACAGGAUUAGAUACCCUGGUA